rnacentral:rRNA from 1 species
GAUGAACGCUGGCGGCGUGCCUAAUACAUGCAAGUCGAGCGAACGGACGAGAAGCUUGCUUCUCUGACGUUAGCGGCGGACGGGUGAGUAACACGUGGAUAACCUACCUAUAAGACUGGGAUCACUUCGGGAAACCGGAGCUAAUACCGGAUAAUAUCUUGAACCGCAUGGUUCAAUAGUGAAAGACGGUCUUGCUGUCACUUAUAGCUGGAUCCGGGCUGCAUUAGUUAGUUGGUAAGGUAACGGCUUACCAAGGCAACGGUGCAUAGCCGACCUGAGAGGGGGGUGGCCGACUGUGAAGGUGAAACACGGCACAGGCACUUAGGUGAGGCAGAGGUGGGUACGCUACGGAAAUGGGCGAAAGCUUGACGGAGCAACGCCAGGUGGAUGAUGAAGGGCUGCGGGCGGUAAAACGCUGUUAGUGGGGAAAAACAUUUUUGUAUGUAACGGUGCGCGACUGACGGGAACGGAUAAAGAAGGCCCGGCUAAAUACGUU